GGCCCAUUAGCUCAGUUGGUUAGAGCGUGGUGCUAAUAACGCCAAGGUCGCAGGUUCGGGACCUGCAUGGGCCA
rnacentral:tRNA from 1 species